GACGUAGGAGGCGAGCGUUGUCCGGAUUCAUUGGGCGUAAAGAGCACGCAGGCGGUUUGGCAAGUCGGAUGUGAAAACCCGAAGCUCAACUUCGGGCCUGCAUCCGAAACUGCCCGACUAGAGGUAGGUAGGGGAGAUCGGAAUUCCUGGUGUAGCGGUGAAAUGCGCAGAUAUCAGGAGGAACACCGGUGGCGAAGGCGGAUCUCUGGGCCUUACCUGACGCUCAGGUGCGAAAGCGUGGGGAGCGAACAGG
rnacentral:rRNA from 1 species